AUUGAACGCUGGCGGCAUGCUUUACACAUGCAAGUCGAACGGUAACAGGGUGCUUGCACCGCUGACGAGUGGCGAACGGGUGAGUAAUGCGUCGGAACGUGCCGAGUAGUGGGGGAUAACGCAGCGAAAGUUGUGCUAAUACCGCAUACGUACUGAGGUAGAAAGUGGGGGACCUUCGGGCCUCACGCUAUUCGAGCGGCCGACGUCUGAUUAGCUAGUAGGUGAGGUAAAGGCUCGCCUAGGCGACGAUCAGUAGCGGGUCUGAGAGGAUGAUCCGCCACACUGGACUGGGACACGGCCCAGACUCCUACGGGAGGCAGCAGUGGGGAAUUUUGGACAAUGGGCGAAAGCCUGAUCCAGCCAUGCCGCGUGUCUGAAGAAGGCCUUCGGGUUGUAAAGGACUUUUGUCAGGGAGGAAAUCCCUAGUGCUAAUAACACUGGGGGAUGACAGUACCUGAAGAAUAAGCACCGGCUAACUACGUGCCAGCCGCCGCCGUAA
rnacentral:rRNA from 1 species